AUGGAGGGUAUGACGCCCACCAGUCCUACUGCACACAUCAGCAAAGAGGAGGCUGUGGAGAGACUCCAGGAAACAGAGAAGAUCAUUGCAGAGCUGAAUGAAACAUGGGAGGAGAAGCUCAGGAAAACGGAUUCGAUACGACAAGAGAGGUGAGAACAGGCACAAUCCGACGAAGUGCUCCAGUGUUCAAAAUGUGUGAACGGAUGUGACACAGACUGUUGUAAUGGACUGAAUUAGGAUGUCAUUUAAGGAAUAACUUUACCCUGUGAAUGUUAAGACACAGACAGACCAAACCAACCUAGCUAUCUGGACCAGAAAGCUGCUGUUCACUACAGCCGACGACUAACCUGCGUCUGUGUGAGAGAAUGAUAACUCUCCACACCAGCAGGUGGCAGUAGUCAGAAGACAAUGCAUUUCUCCUUUCAGAUAGCAGCUUUUUGAUUCUGUAACUCUUGUAUGAUAUAGUAUAGUAUUCAGGGCCGUGGGAAGAGGUUUUAAGUUGGGGGUGCUGUAGUGGGAGGUGCAUUUUUUGCGUGUCAGGUGGACACCUCUUAAUAAUGUCUAAGUCUAAUAACAAAGUAAACACACACUAAUAAGAAUUAAACAUAUUUAUAUCAAUCUUGUAACCAGACUCCGUUGCACAUAGCAGACACGUACAAAUAGCCAAGAUAGUUAAACAGCUCCAAAAGGUUGUCGCGCACAGCGGACAAGAACAUCCACAAAAGCAAAUAUUUUUAACAGCACAUAUAAGCCUACGUUAUUUAAACUUAUGGCUCUGUCAGGGCGCAGACACACACUCACAGAACACAGCUAAUAAGAACAUAAAAAUAGCCUACGAAUAAUUAAAACGGUCCACAGGCUGACAGCGCACACGAACAUAUCCAAAUACAUUUUUUGCGUGUCAGGUGGACACCUCUUAAUAAUGUCUAAGUCUAAUAACAAAGUAAACACACACUAAUAAGAAUUAAACAUAUUUAUAUCAAUCUUGUAACCAGACUCCGUUGCACAUAGCAGACACGUACAAAUAGCCAAGAUAGUUAAACAGCUCCAAAAGGUUGUCGCGCACAGCGGACAAGAACAUCCACAAAAGCAAAUAUUUUUAACAGCACAUAUAAGCCUACGUUAUUUAAACUUAUGGCUCUGUCAGGGCGCAGACACACACUCACAGAACACAGCUAAUAAGAACAUAAAAAUAGCCUACGAAUAAUUAAAACGGUCCACAGGCUGACAGCGCACACGAACAUAUCCAAAUACAGGCACAUUUUCACCAUUUCAAAAGCCCAAUUUGCACAGCACACAAUAAUAUAACCAAAUACAUUUCUGCAGCAAAAUUAUCAGUGUGAAAUUAAUGUGUAUGUUAUGUUAAACUGCUCAGCUGCAGCUCAUAAUAAACCAAACAUUUAACCUUGAGCAGGGUGCUCCUGUUAAAUUACUCCAAAUGUGGCUUGGCGCUCAGGAGCUGAGUAGAUAAAGUCUCUCAUGAGGGAAUGGAUGUCCAAAUGUGGCUUGGCGCUCAGGAG
rnacentral:lncRNA from 1 species